rnacentral:rRNA from 1 species
CCGAUGACUGGCGGGUGCUUACACAUGCAGUCGCACGAGAACUCUUCUGCUUGCAGAAGAUAGUAAAGUGGCGCACGGGUGAGUAACGCGUGGGUAAUCUACCUCCGAAUCGGGGAUAACCCCGCGAAAGCGGGGCUAAUACCGGAUAAUAUCUUUUAUAUUUCGGCAUAAAAGAUCAAAGGUGGUCUCUACAUGUAAGCUACUGUUUGGAGAUGAGCCCGCGUGCCAUUAGCUUGUUGGUAGGGUAAUGGCCUACCAAGGCUACGAUGGCUAGCUGGUCUGAGAGGAUGAUCAGCCACACUGGAACUGACACACGGUCCAGACUCCUACGGGAGGCAGCAGUGAGGAAUUUUGCGCAAUGGGGGAAACCCUGACGCAGCAACGCCGCGUGAGUGAUGAAGGCUUUCGGGUCGUAAAGCUCUGUCAAGUGGGAAGAACAUGCUCGAUGUUAAUACCAUCGUGCACUGACGGUACCACUGAAGGAAGCACCGGCUAACUCCGUGCCAGCAGCCGCGGUAAUACGGGGGGUGCAAGCGUUAUUCGGAAUUAUUGGGCGUAAAGGGCGCGUAGGCGGUCUCUUAAGUCAGAUGUGAAAGCCCGGGGCUCAACCCCGGAAGUGCAUUUGAAACUAAGGGACUUGAGUAUGGGAGAGGGAAGUGGAAUUCCUGGUGUAGAGGUGAAAUUCGUAGAUAUCAGGAGGAACACCGGUGGCGAAGGCGACUUCCUGGACCAAUACUGACGCUAAGGCGCGAAGGCGUGGGGAGCAAACAGGAUUAGAUACCCUGGUAGUCCACGCAGUAAACGGUGAACACUAGGUGUAGCGGGUAUUUACCCCCUGCUGUGCCGCAGCUAACGCAUUAAGUGUUCCGCCUGGGGAGUACGGUCGCAAGAUUAAAACUCAAAGGAAUUGACGGGGGCCCGCACAAGCGGUGGAGCAUGUGGUUAAUUCGACGCAACGCGAAAAACCUUACCUGGAUUUGACAUCCCGAAAAGUCGUUCGAAAGAUUUGAUGUGCCCUUCCGGGG